CGAUGCCGCGUGAGUGAAGAAGGCCUUUGGGUUGUAAAGCUCUUUCGUCGGGGAAGAAAAUGACUGUACCCGAAUAAGAAGGUCCGGCUAACUUCGUGCCAGCAGCCGCGGUAAUACGAAGGGACCUAGCGUAGUUCGGAAUUACUGGGCUUAAAGAGUUCGUAGGUGGUUAAAAAAGUUGGUGGUGAAAUCCCAGAGCUUAACUCUGGAACUGCCAUCAAAACUUUUUAGCUAGAGUAUGAUAGAGGAAAGCAGAAUUUCUAGUGUAGAGGUGAAAUUCGUAGAUAUUAGAAAGAAUACCAAUUGCGAAGGCAGCUUUCUGGAUCAUUACUGACACUGAGGAACGAAAGCAUGGGUAGCGAAGAGGAUUAGAUACCCUCGUAGUCCAUGCCGUAAACGAUGUGUGUUAGACGUUGGAAAUUUAUUUUCAGUGUCGCAGCGAAAGCGAUAAACACACCGCCUGGGGAGUACGACCGCAAGGUUAAAACUCAAAUGAAUUGACGGGGACCCGCACAAGUAGUGGAGCAUGUGGUUUAAUUCGAAGAUACGCGCAGAACCUUACCAACACUUGACAUGUUCGUCGCGACUCUAAGAGAUUAGAGUUUUCGGUUCGGCCGGACGAAACACAGGUGCUGCAUGGCUGUCGUCAGCUCGUGUCGUGAGAUGUUGGGUUAAGUCCCGCAACGAGCGCAACCCUCACUUUUAGUUGCCAUCAUUUAGUUGGGCACUCUGAAAGAACUGCCAGUGAUAAGCUGGAGGAAGAUGGGGAUGACGUCAAGUCCUCAUGGCCCUUACGUGUUGGGCU
rnacentral:rRNA from 1 species